GUGCACCAGGCGCGAAUACUUUACAAUGUGCGAAGGCACGAUAAGGGAACUCUGAGUGCCUCCUAAGGAGGCUGUUCUGAUGUCUAAAAAGCAACAGAAGUAAGGGCUGGGUAAGACCGGUGCCAGCCGCCGCGGUAACACCGGCAGCCCAAGUGGUAGCCACGUUUAUUGGGUCUAAAGCGUUCGUAGCCGGCCAGGUAAGUUCCUUGGUAAAUUUAGCCGCUUAACGGUUAAGCUUUCAGGGAAUACUGCUUGGCUUGGGACUGGGAGAGGUCAGAGGUACUCCGGGGGUAGGGGUGGAAAUCUAUUAAUCCCUGGGGGACCACCGGUAGCGAAGGCGUCUGACCAGACCAGGUCCGACGGUGAGGGACGAAGGCUAGGGGCGCGAACCGGAUUAGAUACCCCUGUAGU
rnacentral:rRNA from 1 species